UGCUUCAGUUUUUGACGCCUUGGGAGUGAGAAUGGGUUGGUUUAUUCCUGCAUUUAUUCAUGUCCAAAUCCUCGUGUUUUUGAGAAUGGAGAGGUGAUUCCAAAUAAAGCCAAGUACUAUGCAAAUGACACAACCACGUACUCAUGUCAUUCUGAUUAUACGUUCCGUGGCUCAGCGGUCCACGUUUGCAAGCCUAAUGGGAAAUGGAGUGGAAGCACACCAAUUUGUGGACGUGACUCACGUUCCGUGGCACCUGAACUUCACGCGCCUGCCACAACAUCUCCCACUGUUUACAGCCAUCAGACACCUUGGCUGUGGCAUGUUCUGUGACAGCUGCGCCUAGAUCUGACUGGUGAACUGUCGUCUGGGGCAGGCACAGUGAAAUCAAUGAUUACACACACACCACCAUUAAAAUGCUUCUAGAAAAGAAACCUCAGAAAUAUGAACAGAAACCUCCAAUAUGAGCAUUGGUGUGUUUCAGGAGGGUCUCCCACAAUCCACUGCAUACUUGCUGCAUCUCAGUGAAAAUCCUGUGUCACAUUAUGGAAACGUUAACUGCGCCGAAAUGUGCAGUGUUGCGUCCAUCUUUGAAUUCUAAAUGCUCUUUCCCAAAAGAUGAGUUAUUACCCAGUCUCCCCAAACUAUGAGAUCCUGAUGUUUGCUACAGAUGUUAAUCGGAUAAUCUCUAUGAAGGACUUCAAAAGAAAUGAACGAAAUGCAGGAAACCUAACAAAUAUUUUUAAAGAGCUGGACAAAUUUACUCAUGAGAGUCAGGCAAACAUGGAGGUAAAUCCUGAAUGUAAAGUGGACCAGAUCAAACGUCUUGUCACUAAAAAUGAUCCAAAGCGGGAGAAGAAACUUGCUGAACUUUUAAGUGAAAUUGCUUGGACUAUCUUUUUGUAUUUGGAGUUGGAGAUGACGUGUAUCAAGAAAUCGCAGAGGGACCAAGAAAUAGCAUUAACACUAUUGUUUGGAUGAAUCAGUUUCACAAUGAGAACACCAGUGUAGUGUAGCCAAUGUUGGAUCAUGUCUCAGGCAUCACCACUUCUGCUAACUUCACUGAUGCUAGCCAGGAUGGUCUCCAGAUUUCUCUCCGAGCUUCAAAGAGAUUCCAAGAGGGAAGGGACGUAGUACCCCCCCAUCACCAGGCAUUGGCCAGUCCACCAAGAAGGAGUGUGACCGGAAGACGGUUAAAAGACCCUAACCCAAACCAAUCAUUGCUCAAACCCUUUGACGCAGACACUCUCCAAGACUCAUUCCUCUGGAGUCUGACCUUUCGGCAGUUUUACCUUAAAGCAACUUUGUCGAUUUGCUGUGGACUCUCCGAUCUUCAGAAGACCCUGACAAAAAGCUUCCAGCUCACUCCUAACAUACUCAUCAAGUAUCUCCGUUGUCUACCACAUCCGGACUCUUAUUUAGCAAUAAAGCCAAUGCAAGCAGCUGUUUUCCAACUAUUUAGAUGCAUGUAUCAGUUUGGGCCCCUUUAUUAAGGUGAUUUUGAUUCUCUGAUGAUUCUCAUUAGGUUGUGGUUAACUGAUGUUAAAUACUGCAAUUUUUUUGUUCUUCUCUUUCUCUUUCCUUACUCUCCUUCAUUCUGUAUUUAUGUGUUUUGCUU